GGACGUGAUACGGGCUCAAACAGUGCAACGUGGGAGGUUUUGGGAAAGAAGGUUGGAACAUAAACGAAAGGUUGAACUCGAUUGGAUGCGAAAGAAACAGGGAAGUUAGGCUGAAUCAAAAAUCUGAGAGGAUUUGAUUUGGGUUCAGGGAUCAUUCCAAAUGAGUUUGACUUGACCUGCAUACAUUCGACUUGACCAAUAAAAUCAAGCAAACUCAAAUUAUUUUUAAUAAUGCAAUGAUGAAGGAGAACAUAUUUUCUCAUGUUUAAAUUUAAAAUAUAUGCAUAAAAAUA
rnacentral:lncRNA from 1 species